rnacentral:tRNA from 1 species
GCAGCCGUGGUCUACUGGGAAGGGCUUUGGGCUUGUAACCGAAGGGUUUGUCGGUUCGAUCCCUGACCAGUAGGA